rnacentral:rRNA from 1 species
CACCGCGGUUAGACGAGCGACUCAAGUUGACAGACAGCGGCGUAAAGCGUGGUUAAGAUCAAUUUAAACUAAAGCCGAAAGCCCCCUAGCCGUUAUAAGCCUACCAGGGUAAGAAGACCACUCACGAAAGUAGCUUUAUUAUAUCUGAUUCCACGAAAGCUGGGGUA